GGAUGUGAGGGCCAUCUGGCUGUGACAUCUGUCACCCCAUUGAUCGCCAGGGUUGAUUCGGCUGAUCUGGCUGGCUAGGCAGGUGUCCCCUUCCUCCCUCACCGCUCCAUGUGCGUCCCUCCCGAAGCUGCACGCUCGGUCGAAGAGGACGACCAUCCUCGAUAGAGGAGGACCGUUCUUCGGUCAAGGGUAUACGAGUAGCUGCGCUCCCCUGCUAGAACCUCCAAACAAGCUCUCAAGGUUCAGCCAUCUUUUUAAAAUGCACAUUUCAGGAAAUGCAGUAGGUAAUUUCACCUUGACUUAUCAAGGAAAAAUAGAAAUCUU
rnacentral:snRNA from 1 species